rnacentral:rRNA from 1 species
AGGAUGAACGCUGGCGGCGUGCCUAACACAUGCAAGUCGAACGUCCUGUCUCGCAAGAGGCAGGGAGUGGCGGACGGGUGAGUACCACGUGGGUUAUCUACCGUGAGGUGAGGAAUACCGGCGAGAAAUCGCCGACAAGACCGCAUAGCCUCGGUGCAAGCCGAGGAAAGCUUUCUCGAGAGAGGGAGCGCCAUACGAGGAGCCUGCGCCCGAUUAGCUAGCUGGUGGAGUAACGGUUCACCAGGGCGACGAUCGGUAGCUGGUCUGAGAGGACGAUCAGCCACACUGGGAUUGAGAACGGCCCAGACUCCUACGGGGGGCAGCAGUGAGGAAUUUUCGUCAAUGGGGGCAACCCUGAACGAGCAACGCCGCGUGCAGGAAGAAGGUUUUCGGAUCGUAAACUGCUUUUCUCGGGGAAGAGAACGGACGGUACCCGAGGAAUCAGCCCCGGCUAACUACGCGCCAGCAGCCGCGGUAA